rnacentral:rRNA from 1 species
UGCUUGGGAAUAUGCCUUGAGGUGGGGGACAACAGUUGGAAACGACUGCUAAUACCGCAUAAUGUCUACGGACCAAAGAGGGGGAUUCUUCGGAACCUCUUGCCUUUAGAUUAGCCCAAGUGAGAUUAGCUAGUAGGUGAGGUAAUGGCUCACCUAGGCGACGAUCUCUAGCUGGUUUGAGAGGAUGAUCAGCCACACUGGGACUGAGACACGGCCCAGACUCCUACGGGAGGCAGCAGUGGGGAAUAUUGCGCAAUGAGCGAAAGCUUGACGCAGCGACACCGCGUGUGGGAUGACGGU